UCGAUCACACGCCGGGUCAGCUCGCUCGCUCGCUCGCUCGCCUACGUCGUUUGUGAAUUGAAAUCAGAGAGAAGUAUCUGAUUUGAUUGAAAGUCAUGAAUUCGAUCGAAGACAUAGACGUGUUUAGUUGGACUUGGACGGUGUUAUCAUUAUAAUUUUGGCAACUUUGCUUUCUCUCCUUCCUCCAGCUAGCGGCCGCCGCAGCAGUCCUUACCGCUACUCUCCCGGAUUUCCUUUAUCUCCGCCUCGAUUCUAAUGCCAGAACAGGAGAAUCAGGUCGAGCUCAAGUUCCGUCUUUAUGAUGGUUCGGACAUCGGGCCGAUCCGCUGCGCUUCUUCUUCCACCGUCGCGAUGCUCAAGGAAAGGGUAAUCUCCGAGUGGCCGCGAGAUAAGAAGAUCAUUCCAAGGGUGGCCACUGAUGUGAAGUUAAUAUGUGGUGGCAAGAUUUUGGAGAACAGCAAAACAGUUGCUCAGUGUAGAUCACCUUUUGGAGAAAUUCCUGCUGGGUUUAUCACCAUGCUUGUUGUUGUCCAACCAUCCUCGAAUAAAAUUAAAACAGGAAAGAAGGUAGGCGAGCUAUCGAAGAAGACCACCUGUUCAUGCACCAUACUGUAGAACUAAGAGCUUUGCGGUGACUGCAGUACUACUUAUUUGAUUUGUUCUGUGCAUAAUCCAGGCUUGCCACUAUACUUUUUCAGAUGCAGAUAGUAUAGACUAAUUUAUAUCUCCCAAAACAGAGUCCAUUAUAAGUUCAUAAUUGCAACAAGAUCAUUCUAUUACUGAAAGCGAGGGGGCAUUGAUAUAUAUGCUGUUUGGCAACAUCUGUAGGUGCCAUACAAACUUUUCUGUUGUUCUUUAUGUUUCAAGUGCUCUGAUAUCAUGCGACUUUAUUCUUGUUAGCCUUCCAUGCUGUGCAUAUUAACCGAACCUAGUACAACUCUAACUGAGAGAUCCGGUGCUGCAUAGCAAGGCAUUGGGCCGGUGGGCAUGUCUGAAAUCACUGCACCAAGCAGAGGAUUCUGGGAGACAAGGAAAUUGCAGGAUUACGGCAUGAUACACUAGUUUUUUAAGAAGUGGGUUCUCCACUUAAUUUGUUAGUUGGAUGGUGUAUCAGUUAGUCUUCUCCUUUCCCUUUGGAAAAAGGAUGGAUAUGUUGGAUGGUGGGGGACUCUUCCCUCAUAUUGGGCAUCAUGAUUGAUCACCGAGAAUGGUGCUUCUGCUAUAAAAUAAUGGCAGCUUGAAUCAUAAUGCCUGUCGUAACGAGGGAAUUGUAGUGCACUAGUGACGUUCUCAGGAACAGCUUUUUCGACUUUGCUCUGGUUGGCAAGCAACUAGCUGGCUUUAUUGUCAGCAGCAUAUGUGCUCGACUAAUCAUCCAUAGUGCAUGCUUUUAGGUUCUUCGAGACUUCUCUCUCAAUGGUUCUUGAGAUAGCACAUGACUUAUGCUAGUUUUUGUUGUUGAUAGGAGAGUACUAGCACGGUAGUAAAUUGUAUCAAAAUAGUAAGUAUGUAAUAAACAGGUAAAUAAAAAAGUAAGAUUUAGAAAUUAGUAUCUUCCGGUUGAAACGUCGGUGUGCCGACUGUCCUUAGAGAAUUUAUUGCCGCCCACAGUGCAGAGACUCUCCGGCAAAAUUCUCCCAAGAUCCGACAACCACUCGCGUCGUCCGUAGGUGCAGUCCAAAACGAACAUCGCACUCGGACUCAACCUCAGAUCGUUAAACACCAAGCCUCAGGACACGGAAAACUAGAGCACGCAGAGAGGGAAGGGGGAAGGAGGAGAGAGUAGAUUGCUCGAGAGUGAAUGAAAAAUACUGUUUGAGUACGCAGGUAUUUAUUCACCCCAAAGCGAAGCACUGCUUUGCCUCGCGUUGGUUCACGCAGGACAGAACCAAACUAAAGACAGACUGGCAAAAACAAACCAGGUCGCCUGUAAGCGUGAGACCCACGAGUUGGAGAUUUGCACCCUCCCCCCUGCGCGCGAUGAUCGCGUGUGUCGCGCCCGGUUUAUGGAUUUCCGGCUUGAACCCCCGGAAACCACCUGAUUUGGGCUCGGCCCGCGCAUGUGUGUAGGUCCCCUUAACAUUGCUAAGCAAGGAUGGAAAGACUCCAUAUAUAAGCUCUUCCAACUUUCUUGACUUAGCAAUGUGAGACUAAAUACAUACAUAUAUGUAUUACCAAAACAAGAAAAAUAGUUUGAAUUAAAUACACAAAACUCAACCGUUUUCAAGUAACAUCAGUCUUUCCAUAGUAAUGAAAUUGUUUAUGUUUCAUUAUUUUGGGUCUAUCUUAGUAGGACUUCUUAUGUUGGGUCUAUCUUUACCUAAUUAAAGUACACGAGAAUGUGCUGUGUCCGCUAGGAUCGAUUAAACAAAGUUUAGAGAGAGAGAGAUCACUAAGCUUCCUAAAAUGUCACACACUUGGAGCAGGGGCCUUGAUUAUGUUAUCAUUUCCUUCCACAUUGGUUGCCUAUAAAAGCCAGGCAUGCCCGGACCAUGGAAUCCGUACCAUUUGUUGAUUGGAGACAUUUAACAAAUGAAUAUGUUGCAAAGAGCAGUCCUGCUUUGCAUUGCAGUGCUAAUGCAUCUGGCAUUGAGCAACUCAGUGGGCAUCAAUGCAACAACAGUUGGUAAGGCGAGCACUGCGGACCUCCUCGUCGGACAAGAGGUCAUGAAUCAAGCUGCGGGGCAUGGCUUGGCCGAUAUAGACGGAGAACAUAAGCAUUUACAGGGGGAAGUUAGCAAGCGCCUGGUUCCGUCGGGCCCUGAUAAAUAUCCACCACACUUUGAUCUCGACGCCGUCACCAUCGCCGCCGCACUGCCGCCGCCUCCACCUAAGAUGUUGAUCGACUGAAGCCACACGUUAUGGUUUGUUGGUGUAUGUAUAUGCAUGUUUGCAAGUUUAUGCUUUAAAAUUGUAGCUUGCUCUCACUUCUUUGGAGAUGUAUAACUAUGUACUAAUGCUGCCUGUAACAUGCUUGGACAUGCAGGCAAAUAUAAUAAUAAGAUUGUGAGAGAUUUGAGUA